UACGUAGGUGGCAAGCGUUGUCCGGAUUUACUGGGCGUAAAGAGCGCGCAGGCGGUCGGAUAAGUCGAAUGUGAAAGCCCCCGGCUCAACUGGGGAGGGUCAUUCGAUACUGUUCGACUCGAAGGCAGGAGAGGGAAGUGGAAUUCCCGGUGUAGUGGUGAAAUGCGUAGAUAUCGGGAGGAAACACCAGUGGCGAAGGCGACUUCCUGGCCUGUUCUUGACGCUGAGGCGCGAAAGCUAGGGGAGCAAACGGGG
rnacentral:rRNA from 1 species